ACCCAGCUGACGAGUCCCGAAUGGGACGAAACGCGUGUCCUGGAU
rnacentral:hammerhead_ribozyme from 1 species